AGAGUAGAUAUGCGAUUAUGUCUUAAAAGGGAGGGGCUUGAAGCGGGUAUUCACUUUGGUUUUUAUCAUUGAGUGUAGUGAAGGACUGACUGCAGACUGGCUCCCUCUCCUCUCUCAUACUCGACCCAAGAGCUCUACUUUGUCCCGUAAAGAUCCGCAGGGCACAAUCAUGGAGGAAAUUGACUUUGAGCGGCGCCGGGAGAUGAGGAGGCAGAAGCGGGAGGAGAUGCGUCUUGAGUCCGAAAGGUUGUCAAGGAAUGAUGAUGACGAUGAGGAGGCGGCCCGCGAAAGGAGGCGCAGGGCACGCCAGGAGAGGCUGAUGAGCAGGGAAAGUGAGGAACACUGUGGACAGCCAGAUAGUCUGGUCAUGACCAACAGCCACAGUGUGACAGAAACUGUGAGCAGCUCUUACGGAGGAGGCAGCGGUGGCGGAGAUGACGAGGACCAGGCCCUGCAGGAGCGCAUGGCCAAACGUGAGGAGAGACGGCAGAGACGCAUGAUGGAGGCGAUGGAGAGGCAGAAGCAGCUGGACGCAGAGAGCAACAACAGCGUCUCCAUGGAGAAGAACGACGCAGAGGAGGAGAGGCCUUCUUCCUGGCGCCGGGGUCGCUACCGUGACCAUGAGGAUGAGGAGGAGGAGGAGAAGACGGAGAGGUACAGCUCGAGGAGAGAGAAAGAGAGAGAGGAGCCGAGGAUGGAAGACGAGGCUGCUCCUGAAGUUGAGGAGCAAGUAGACGAGGGGGUAGAGGAAGAGGAGGAGCAGCAAGAGGAGGUGGAGGAGGAGAAACCAAGGUCUUACAUGAGAGAUAAGGAACCAACUGAAGGACCUAAAAAUGAAACCAAGGACCUCGCUGAAGAUGAAACACAGUCAGUAGUCAGUGAGAUCUCAAACCAGGCCAAGUGCACUAACUCAGAGGCCGAGGAGGAUGCAGAAGCAUCAGAGGAGGCUGGAGAGGUACCUGAGGAUGAUUAUGUAGAUUACUCUUCAGAGAACAAAUCUGUGGCACUCAGAAAUGAGAGUGAAGAGGACAAUGAGGUAUCAGAGAUACUGCACUCAGAGGAUAAUGAGGUCGAGGAGAGAGGCAGGGCCAGGGACGAGCAGAGGAAGCAGAACGGAGGGCUGCACGAGGAGGCAACUCCCAAUCAGCACAGGAAACCUGAGAGGACCUUCAGCCGCGGAAGUGUACGCUCCCCUGAGGUGUCUACAAGUGAUGACCAGGACGACGCUGCUCGCCUGGAGGCAGAGCUCAAGCUGGAGGAGCUGAAACGCCGCCGUGAUGACGCAGAGAGCGAGGAGUUUGAAAGGAUGAGGCAGAAGCAGCAGGAGGCUGAGGUUGAGCUGGAGGAGCUGAAGAGGAAGAGGGAGGAGAGGAAGAAGGUGCUGGACGAAGAGGAGAGACAGAGGAAGCAAGAGGAGGAAGAGAGAAAAGCCAGAGAGGAGGAGGAGAAGAGAAAGAUGAAGGAGGAGAUUGAAAGGAGGAGAGCAGAGGCAGCUGAGAAGAGACAGAAGGUGGAAGACACCAUGGACGGAGAGGGCGGACCCUUUAAGUGUGUCAGCCCUCGAGGCUCUUCUCUGAAGAUCGGAGAGAGGGCAGAGUUCCUGAACAAGUCAGCACAGAAAAGCACGAUGAAGGCAGCUCAUUCCCCUGUGGUGUCCAAGAUAGACAACAGGCUGGAGCAGUACACCUCGGCUGCUCAGAGAGAGAACAAGGAGUCCAGAUCCCCUCGCUCUGGAGCGGUGGAUAUGCCACUGGGCACUGACAGCAUACGAAACAUCAAGAGCAUGUGGGAGAAAGGAAACGUGUUCAGCUCACCUGGCGGUGGCGGGGGCACAUUCAAGGAAGCAGCUGUGAUGAAGACAGGCGUGGCAGGCCGCAUCAAUGACUGGCUGAAUAAAACCCCGGAGAGCGGCAAAACGUCAGGAGGAAGGCCAGCGGACCUGAAGCCUGUUGAUGUCACCAAUAAGAGGAGUCUAUGGGAAAACAAAGGAGCCUCCCCAACCAAGAACUCUGAUAGCUAGUUGACCUCACCUUUGUAUCUGGAAUAAGCCUGGAGAGGUGGCAGGCAGAGGAGAGACCAAAUCAGUUGCUAACGGAAUGGGACAUUAAUGUCUUAAAGGAGCCAUUAAAGCUGGGGACCACGACAAUCCGAGACUCUUCCUUUUGACUUUGUCUGAAGAACCAAAUAAGGACCACAUUCCCAAGAAGGACCCCACGAAAACAGAGGGACAGCAGAGACGCUGUCGAAGCACUGUACCCAAACAGCAUCAUCAUAUUUCUGUACGGUUGCCACACAUAGUGCCUUUGCACAAUUAUUCUUUUGCUUUCUAAAAGAAAAAAAAAUGCUGUGAAAUUUGGACUUUUGUAAUAACUUUAACUAAUUACUUUUUUUUUUUUUAACAAUCCUUCCAGAAAGAGAAAAACUAAUUAAAUUUUAGAUGAUCUGAUGAACUCCAUGCCAGCAGUUUUGUUAGACAGAGUAGAUGAGUUUCCACAUUCCAAAGAGAUGGGUGAAAUCGGUUCUCUCCCUCAAACAGUUCAUUUUCCAUCUCUAUUUUUUAUUUAUAUUUAAAGCAAAAGCUUCACACAUUCCUAUUUUAUUCAACGUUCACCAGUUCAGGAUAGAAAUAUAAGCACUUCUAGAAUUUAGCUGAUUUCACUUUUAUUAUGUCUUACCAAUAGUGCAGCAAUGGUCUGAGUAAUAUAUGUUAGCACAUGUGAUGUUUUUGAAUAUCAUACUGUAUCUUAUAUAACAUCUUUAUACUCAUAACAAAAGGUAUUUUUGCUUUGUUUUUAUAUCUACAAACUAUUCACCAACAGGCAGUUGAUUUUGGAGGUGAUAGGAGUGUUGAAGAAGGCCAUUAUGACUUUUAUUAUCCUCUACAUCAUUUUAUUUAUGUUUUAAUGUGUCCUUUUAUACUUCUGUCUGUUUUUGUAGCUUUUGUACCCGUUUGAUCACUUUAAAAUCUUCAAACAUUCCUCUGUAUUAGCAGGUGUACAAGGUGCCUUUACUGCUUCAAAGCCUUAGGUUUUAUAAUGUAGGAAAUCUGCAAACCAACCCUCUUAUUUUACUUCUCUAUCGCCUCUAUGCACACUCUCAUGCUCCGCAAUGUUUUUCUAAUUGAUGGCAUACAACGUCAAUUCAGGGUGCCUAAACAUAUAGUGAGAUAAUAGUGCAGUACAAGGAUAUUUACCACUAUGUAACUCUUCCAGCCUUAUGAUUGCAAUUUUUCGACAGCUGAGGUACAGAACAUGGCGGCCUCAAAGCAACCCAGUUUGAUAUUUAGACUUGUGACUUUCAUGUUUCUUCUUCACUGACACGGCCUUAAGUAGCACAUUCCCUUUCCUAGUUUUUGCACAACGCAAGCUUUGAUUAUAUUGAGCGUUUGCCAGGGCAUUAAAUUAAAUUGAUCAAUAUUUCUGCUCAAAAGUCUGACAAUCACAUUCCAUGGCUCCUGAAAAGAGCAGAGGGGCUUGACCAAAACAUUUUGAAGUGUGAUUUAAUGUGACAUUUAUGUUUUUUCUUUUUUUAAAUACAGUGGUUUCAUAAUGCUGUUUUGUUCUUUUUUUACAACCUUGUGUCCAUUUUAUGUUUCUUUUAUUCAAUGUUUAACCAGACACUUGUUGUUUGUGUAGCGCUAAGCCUAUGCAAAGCACACUAUCUGUAGUCUCUCUCUAAGCACUCCCAAUGUCACACAAGUGGGCUGUUUUUCAACUGGACAAAUGUUUUAAACAUUGUACCCAUGACUCAACAUCAGCAAUAAAGACAUUGAGGUAUUCAA